UACGGGGGGGGGCAAGCGUUGUUCGGAAUUACUGGGCGUAAAGGGCUCGUAGGCGGCCAACUAAGUCAGACGUGAAAUCCCUCGGCUUAACCGGGGAACUGCGUCUGAUACUGGAUGGCUAGAGUUUGGGAGAGGGAUGCGGAAUUCCAGGUGUAGCGGUGAAAUGCGUAGAUAUCUGGAGGAACACCGGUGGCGAAGGCGGCAUCCUGGACCAACACUGACGCUGAGGAGCGAAAGCCAGGGGAGCAAACAGG
rnacentral:rRNA from 1 species